GGGACAGACUUUGCUUUAUCGCAGAAGGGAAAUCAGCAGGGAUCUUGGUGGGACAUCUAGAAGGCAUUACAUUUAUUGACAGCCUGGGAGAUGGGUGUUAUUUUAUUUCAAAUGGUAAAGAUCAGACCACCAAACUUUGGGGUAUCCGGAAAAUGUCCUCAAAUGCUAUAUGUUGCAUGCAAUGCAAGAUUUAGGAAUUAUGGAUGAGACUACUGUUUGAUGGAUCCGGACCAGGCAAGAGACCUAAGACAUCCAAGUGAUCAAUCAUUGGCUACAUACAGAGGCCAUUCAGUUUUGUGAACUCUGAUUCGUCGUUAUUUCUCCCCAGCUGACGGGUGAUAUAAUCUA